rnacentral:rRNA from 1 species
AUCUGCCCUGCACUCUGGGACAAGCCCUGGAAACGGGGUCUAAUACCGGAUACUGACCUUCACGGGCAUCUGUGAAGGUCGAAAGCUCCGGCGGUGCAGGAUGAGCCCGCGGCCUAUCAGCUUGUUGGUGAGGUAAUGGCUCACCAAGGCGACGACGGGUAGCCGGCCUGAGAGGGCGACCGGCCACACUGGGACUGAGACACGGCCCAGACUCCUACGGGAGGCAGCAGUGGGGAAUAUUGCACAAUGGGCGAAAGCCUGAUGCAGCGACGCCGCGUGAGGGAUGACGGCCUUCGGGUUGUAAACCUCUUUCAGCAGGGAAGAAGCGAAAGUGACGGUACCUGCAGAAGAAGCGCCGGCUAACUACGUGCCAGCAGCCGCGGUAAUACGUAGGGCGCAAGCGUUGUCCGGAAUUAUUGGGCGUAAAGAGCUCGUAGGCGGCUUGUCACGUCGGUUGUGAAAGCCCGGGGCUUAACUCCGGGUCUGCAGUCGAUACGGGCAGGCUAGAGUUCGGUAGGGGAGAUCGGAAUUCCUGGUGUAGCGGUGAAAUGCGCAGAUAUCAGGAGGAACACCGGUGGCGAAGGCGGAUCUCUGGGCCGAUACUGACGCUGAGGAGCGAAAGCGUGGGGAGCGAACAGGAUUAGAUACCCUGGUAGUCCACGCUGUAAACGGUGGGCACUAGGUGUGGGCAACAUUCCACGUUGUCCGUGCCGCAGCUAACGCAUUAAGU